UCUGCUUGCUUCUCACCCGCCGGCGCCCCUUCCUCCGUCUGCAGCCUCCGGCCUCCACCUCCCCGGCCGCGCCUCCCUGUCGCCACGCGCGCAGCGACGAAGGCACUCCACCUCCCAGCCACGACGGCGGCCGAUCUCCACGGAUCUACUGCCACGGCGGCGCCUGCCGCCCGAUGGACGCGGCUCCCGUGCAUCUGCUGCUCCCCCACCUCUGCGGAUCCGGCGAGGUCGCCGCCGUCGUCUGCACGCACGGUGGUGAUGGCGGCUCACCAAGGUCGCCACCGCGCACGAGGCGGCGGGGUAGAUGCCCUCGCCGUCUCAGUCUCCACCUGCGCCCUCUUGCUGGCCGUCGAGAUCGUGCCAUCUUUCGAGCCAUCCACCUAUCACUCCGGCUGCACGGCCUGGACGCCUCGACGGACAUUCAGGGAAAUACAUAUACGGAUGCUUACUUCUUUUGCAGCUUCAUUUGUUUGUACGAGCAGCUGCGUCGGCGACGGCUCAUCGUCGUCCACACCGCGCUGGAUCAGACACGCCUCCGCACAGCCCUCAUGCCCCAAAACCCUCGCAGAUAAAAGAUGAUCCUUUCUUUAUGUGGGAGUGUUUGAAGCAGGCAAGCAUUUGGCAAGAGGUGGACGGUGGAACAUGACGACCACGUGGCUCCUCAAACCGCGAAUGUGCUCUGGUAGAUGAUAAAUCCAAAUCUUCUUCAAACUGCUAGAUGGUCACUGGGGGAAGAGGUGGAUGGUCGCCGUCGAGCACACCCCUGCCAGCGUCCGGAGCCGACCUCACCACUGCCGGCAAUGGGUUCCUGCAGAUACACCUCCAUCUCCCUCUGCCAGGUGCGGAAAAUGCCAGCUAAUUAAGAAGGAGGCUAUGUUGCCUCGCCUGGGAAGAAGCGCGGCGUGGUGCGGUGGGUGCCUUUUGUUGUACAUCUCGCUAGAAUGAACAAGUGUAAUAAUCUGGAACAAUUUUUUCGUUCUCACUUUCAGUGGUGCAGUGUUUGUACAGCCAAAAUGAAUGUCCCUCCUGUCUACGUAACGCACAUGCAUGAUGUAUGUUUGGGCAGAAAAAUGCUCUGUUUCUAUGUCAGUGAUUCAGUGUCGAAGAAGGCUUUCAGUGGUUUAGUGUUGUAGAAUCAACUAGAAUGCUUUCCAUGUGAGUGAGUCAACAUUGUGAAGGUAUGCAUGUGCACAAACCAAAAUCCUGUAUCAUGGUUUAUUAUCUUCUAUAAAAUCCAUCGUAACAAAUGACAUGAAUGAAUUUUUGGUUGCUCCGUAUACUCGGGAGGAUGUGCACAAGGCUCUUUUUCAGAUUGGGGACAUGAAGGCGCCCAUGCCUGACGGGCUUCAUGCUAUCUCUUUCAAAAGGUUCUGGCAUAUAUUGGGAGAGGAGCUUACAAUGGAGGUUCUGGAUGCAAUAAAUAAUAAGAAGAUACCGACUGGAUGGAAUUCCACUAAUAUUGUUUUGAUACCCAAGGUUGAGUGUCCAGAGGUAGAUCGAUCACCAACAACGUACUUGUGGCCUAUGAGUGUUUCCACACAUUGAAGAAGAAGACACAUGGGGACCCCCUCUCCCCUUACCUGUUUUUGUUAUGCUCAGAAGGGCUCUCUAGUAUACUAGCUCAUAAGGAGGAGGUGGGACACCUGGAGGGAAUUAAAGUUGAAAGAAGUAUAGUUUUCACCCCCAAAUCCAUCUCAAUGUAUCCAUAACCCCCCAAAGUCAAUUUUGGUAUGAUUUUAACCCUGAAAAUGUCAAAACCGUUUUAAUCAAACCCUGACUGGUUUAGUGUCACAUCAGAAGCGGUUUUGCAAGGUGGUUUUCGUUUACUUGUUGAUUACUUGGCGUUGGCGUGUCACUGCAUAGACUGCUCUUGCUGUAACUAGCAGCCACGAACAAAAAUUCCCCAAGUUCUCUGCCAUCUCGUUCGAACCCUAAAUCCCAAUCACAGUCGUGCUCUUGAAUCGGCUCCACUCCAUGACCUCAUCCGCAAGCUUCUCAGCGAGCUCCUCUGCCGGCCGCACGUCAUAUUCCGUUGGUACGGCGGCGGCGGCGGCGCAAUCGCCGGUGCCAUGUCGGCAGGGUCCGCUGCAUUACGAGCCCCAAAACUUGCGCGGCUGCAGAGUGGAAGCACCCCGAUGGAUUUCCUGGAGUGUGAAGAACCCAGCGCGCAUGUGCUACAAUUGCUGAAAUCGAAGGUGUGUUCUUGCUGAUUUUUCUGGGAGGUCUUUCCAUUGUU